ACCUCUUUGUACAUUGAGAAGGUUACGAGUUUGAUAUUGGUGCAAAAUUGGGUCAAAGAGAAUGCGGGACGUUUGUGUCGGGUUGUUUGUUGACACUGUUGUUUUUAACAAACAAGUUCACUUUUUAACUUUAGGCAUUUGGAGAGCAUGUCUAAGCCUGGGCUUUGAUUUUAAAGUAGGUCCUAAAAUUAUGGGACUUGGAUCCAACUUCUCCGUAGCAGCACUGCCUCCCGGACGCCAUGAUUCUGAAGGGCAUCAGGGUUGGCAAGUGGAAGGAGGAGGCAGCUCAAAUUCCCACACAUCUGGGGCAAACAGAUACUGCACUCCAAUUUCCUGUCGGCGCCGCUGGUUUCUCGCGGAAUUACUUGCUAAGUAAAUGAUUGUUAUAAGACUA